rnacentral:rRNA from 1 species
GAUGAACGCUGGCGGCAGGCCUAACACAUGCAAGUCAAACGGGUGUAGCAAUACACUAGUGGCGCACGGGUGAGUAACACGUGGGAAUCUACCUUUCAGUAAGGAAUAACAGCGGGAAACUGCUGCUAAUGCCUUAUGGUCCCUUCGGGGUAAAGAUUUAUCGCUGAAAGAUGAGCCCGCGUAAGAUUAGCUAGUUGGUAAGGUAAUGGCUUACCAAGGCUAUGACGGUUAGGGGCCCCGAGAGGGGUAACCCCCACACUGGGACUGAGACACGGCCCAGACUCCUACGGGAGGCAGCAGUUUGGAAUAUUGGACAAUGGACGAAAGUCUGAUCCAGCGACGUCGCGUGGACGAUGAAGGCCCUCGGGUUGUAAAGUCCUUUUGGCAGGGAACAAUUUUUGAGUGUACCUGCAGAAUAAGAGGUUGCUAACUCUGUGCCAGCCGCCGCAGUAA